rnacentral:rRNA from 1 species
UACAGAGGGUGCGAGCGUUAAUCGGAAUUACUGGGCGUAAAGCGUGCGUAGACGGUUAUCUAAGUCGGAUGUGAAAGCCCCGGGCUCAACCUGGGAAUUGCAUUCGAGACUGAAUAGCUAGGGUGCGGUAGAGGGAAGCGGAAUUUCCGGUGUAGCGGUGAAAUGCGUAGAUAUCGGAAGGAAGGCCGGUGGCGAAGGCGGCGCUCUGGAACAUUUCUGACGCUGAGGCUCGAAAGCGUGGGGAGCAAACAGG